GCCGGUUUAGCUCAUUCGGUAGAGCAACUGACUUGUAAUCAGUAGGUACCCAGUUCGAUUCCGGGAACCGGCACCA
rnacentral:tRNA from 1 species